rnacentral:rRNA from 1 species
CGCUCGAGAGACGGAAGCUUAAGUGGAUUGCCUGGGCUGCGUACAAGUAGCGGAGCAUGUGGUUUAAUUCGAAGCAACGCGAAGAACCUUACCUAAGCUUGACAUCCCAAUGACAUCUCCUUAAUCGGAGAGUUCCCUGCGGGGACAUUGGGGACAGGUGGUGCAUGGUUGUCGUCAGCUCGUGUCGUGAGAUGUUGGGUUAAGUCCCGCAACGAGCGCAACCCUUGUCUUUAGUUGCCAUCAUUAAGUUGGGCACUCUAG